GCUGAGAUCCAACUCAACACCUUGCUCCAGUUCAGUUUCCUGUAAGGGGUAACAUGCCACAGCAGGUGCUUUUCUUCCCAGUUAACCUGAAAUACAAUGACUGUGGUCAACUUCAACUUAUCUCAUGCAGUCUGGGUGCCUUCCUAGUACC